UCCAGGCUGCUCCUAUUUGCAGCACAUUCAGAUUGAAACAGGUGCCAAAGUCUUCCUACGGGGCAAAGGUUCAGGCUGCAUUGAGCCAGCAUCUGGCCGAGAAGCUUUUGAACCUAUGUAUAUUUACAUCAGUCACCCCAAACCAGAAGGCCUGGCUGCCGCCAAGAAGCUUUGUGAGAAUCUUUUGCAAACAGUUCAUGCUGAAUACUCUAGAUUUGUGAAUCAGAUUAAUACUGCUGUACCUUUACCAGGCUAUACACAACCCUCUGCUAUAAGUAGUGUCCCUCCUCAACCACCAUAUUAUCCAUCCAAUGGCUAUCAGUCUGGUUACCCUGUUGUUCCCCCUCCUCAGCAGCCAGUUCAACCUCCCUACGGAGUACCAAGCAUAGUGCCACCAGCUGUUUCAUUAGCACCUGGAGUCUUGCCGGCAUUACCUACUGGAGUCCCACCUGUGCCAACACAAUACCCGAUAACACAAGUGCAGCCUCCAGCUAGCACUGGACAGAGUCCGAUGGGUGGUCCUUUUAUUCCUGCUGCUCCUGUCAAAACUGCCUUGCCUGCUGGCCCCCAGCCCCAGCCCCAGCCCCAGCCCCCACUCCCAAGUCAGCCCCAGGCACAGAAGAGACGAUUCACAGAGGAGCUACCAGAUGAACGGGAAUCUGGACUGCUUGGAUACCAGGUACAGGCUUCUCCAGUCAGAAUGAGAUUGAAGGUGCAGGAUCGAAGCCAGCAAGUUCCUCAGGCAAAGAGAGAGAGAGGGACAGGCAGUUGAUGCCUCCACCAGCCUUUCCAGUGACUGGAAUAAAAACAGAGUCCGAUGAAAGGAAUGGGUCUGGGACCUUAACAGGGAGCCAUGAUUAUCCAGCCAAGAAGAUGAAAACUACAGAGAAGGGAUUUGGCUUGGUGGCUUAUGCUGCAGAUUCAUCUGAUGAAGAGGAGGAACAUGGAGGUCAUAAAAAUGCAAGUAGUUUUCCACAGGGCUGGAGUUUGGGAUACCAAUAUCCUUCAUCACAACCACGAGCUAAACAACAGAUGCCAUUCUGGAUGGCUCCCUAGGAAACAGUG
rnacentral:sRNA from 1 species